rnacentral:rRNA from 1 species
GAACAUAAGAGUUUGAUCCUGGCUCAGAUUGAACGCUGGCGGCAUGCUUUACACAUGCAAGUCGGACGGCAGCAUAGAAGAGCUUGCUCUUUUGAUGGCGAGUGGCGAACGGGUGAGUAAUGCAUCGGAACGUACCGAGUAGUGGGGGAUAACUGUCCGAAAGGAUGGCUAAUACCGCAUAUUCUCUGAGGAGGAAAGCAGGGGACCUUAGGGCCUUGCGCUAUUUGAGCGGCCGAUGUCUGAUUAGCUAGUUGGUGGGGUAAGAGCCCACCAAGGCGACGAUCAGUAGCGGGUCUGAGAGGAUGAUCCGCCACACUGGGACUGAGACACGGCCCAGACUCCUACGGGAGGCAGCAGUGGGGAAUUUUGGACAAUGGGCGCAAGCCUGAUCCAGCCAUGCCGCGUGUAUGAAGAAGGCCUUCGGGUUGUAAAGUACUUUUGUCAGGGAAGAAAAGCCUGGGGAUAACACCCUCAGGUCAUGACGGUACCUGAAGAAUAAGCACCGGCUAACUACGUGCCAGCAGCCGCGGUAAUACGUAGGGUGCGAGCGUUAAUCGGAAUUACUGGGCGUAAAGCGAGCGCAGACGGUUAUUUAAGCAAGAUGUGAAAGCCCCGGGCUCAACUUGGGAACUGCGUUUUGAACUGGGUAACUAGAGUGUGUCAGAGGGGGGUAGAAUUCCACGUGUAGCAGUGAAAUGCGUAGAGAUGUGGAGGAAUACCGAUGGCGAAGGCAGCCCCCUGGGAUAACACUGACGUUCAUGCUCGAAAGCGUGGGUAGCAAACAGGAUUAGAUACCCUGGUAGUCCACGCCCUAAACGAUGUCAAUUAGCUGUUGGGGUACAUGAUGCCUUAGUAGCGUAGCUAACGCGUGAAAUUGACCGCCUGGGGAGUACGGUCGCAAGAUUAAAACUCAAAGGAAUUGACGGGGACCCGCACAAGCGGUGGAUGAUGUGGAUUAAUUCGAUGCAACGCGAAGAACCUUACCUGGUCUUGACAUGUACGGAAUCUCUUAGAGAUAGGAGAGUGCCUUCGGGAGCCGUAACACAGGUGCUGCAUGGCUGUCGUCAGCUCGUGUCGUGAGAUGUUGGGUUAAGUCCCGCAACGAGCGCAACCCUUGCCAUUAGUUGCCAUCAUUAAGUUGGGCACUCUAAUGGGACUGCCGGUGACAAACCGGAGGAAGGUGGGGAUGACGUCAAGUCCUCAUGGCCCUUAUGACCAGGGCUUCACACGUCAUACAAUGGUCGGUACAGAGGGUAGCCAAGCCGCGAGGUGGAGCCAAUCCCAGAAAACCGAUCGUAGUCCGGAUUGCACUCUGCAACUCGAGUGCAUGAAGUCGGAAUCGCUAGUAAUCGCAGGUCAGCAUACUGCGGUGAAUACGUUCCCGGGUCUUGUACACACCGCCCGUCACACCAUGGGAGUGGGGGAUACCAGAAUUGGGUAGGGUAACCUUCGGGAGCCCGCUUAACACGGUAUGCUUCAUGACUGGGGUGAAGUCGUAACAAGGUAGCCGUAGGGGAACCUGCGGCUGGAUCACCUCCUUU